GACGAACGCUGGCGGCGUGCCUAAUACAUGCAAGUAGAACGCUGAAGGAGGAGCUUGCUUCUCUGGAUGAGUUGCGAACGGGUGAGUAACGCGUAGGUAACCUGCCUGGUAGCGGGGGAUAACUAUUGGAAACGAUAGCUAAUACCGCAUAAUAGUAGAUGUUGCAUGACAUUUGCUUAAAAGGUGCAAUUGCAUCACUACCAGAUGGACCUGCGUUGUAUUAGCUAGUUGGUGGGGUAACGGCUCACCAAGGCGACGAUACAUAGCCGACCUGAGAGGGGGAUCGGCCACACUGGGACUGAGACACGGCCCAGACUCCUACGGGAGGCAGCAGUAGGGAAUCUUCGGCAAUGGACGGAAGUCUGACCGAGAAACGCCGCGUGAGUGAAGAAGGUUUUCGGAUCGUAAAGCUCGGUUGUAAGAGAAGAACGAGGGUGAGAGUGGAAAGUUCACACUGUGACGGUAUCUUACCAGAAAGGGACGGCUAACUACGUG
rnacentral:rRNA from 1 species